rnacentral:lncRNA from 1 species
AUUUCAUACAACUUUUAGCUCCACUACAUGCACUCAUUGAUGCACCAUCCACCACAUUUGGAAUCCCAUGUCAUGCAUUAUGACAUUUGCUGCACAUUUGACUCAUUUCUGCACCAUUCUACCUCCAUUUCCUUUCUAUACCAUGUGCACAAUCAUUCAUGUUCCCUAGCUGCAACACCACUCCAUUUUACCCCCCAUACUUUGCAUCAUCACUUCACUUUCACAUUUGAAUCAUUUCAACACC